AUGUGCUAUCCAAACCAUUCCUUCUCACACACCGAUUACUUCAACUGAAAGCGAGUCCUCCACGGCGCCACCACAAUUUAUUUCCCAUUCGGUUCCUCUUUCUCAGUCUUUCUCCCUCCUUCCUCUUCCCUUCCCUCGGCCCCCAUUUUUUUAUUAUAAAUAAAUGCUCCGACCCCCAACUUUACGAACCCCUUCGGUUGCCCAUCGUUUAUAUUUCCUGUGCUGCUAGCUGUCCCAUACCCUUUACCGAUCUUAUUCUCUCUUCUCUUAAGCUCUCUAUCCAGGUGGAUCAUAGUUUUGUACUUCUGCUUCUAAGAUGAGCGAUCCCAAGUAUGCCUAUCCUUAUCCUGCUCAAGGGUAUUACCAAGGGCCCCCAGUGAUGGCACCACCUCAGUACGCAGCUCCACCAAGAAGAGAGCUUGGAUUUCUUGAGGGAUGUCUUGCUGCUCUGUGCUGCUGCUGCCUCAUCGACGAGUGCUGCUGUGAUCCAUCCGUCAUGUUUAUCUGCUGAUGACCUCGCUUCACCAGUUAUAUGGCCCUAAAUAAUGCUUCUUUUUUCUUUUCUUUUUCCUUUUCUUUUUUUUUUUCCCAGUUUCCUUUGUAUGUAAAUAUUGGAUGCUAAGUUUGUUCUUAUGUGUGGUAGUAGACUAAUGUUAUUCUUUUUUUUUUUUUUUAUUUGAACGAAGAUGAAUGAUGUUGUAUGUAAAUAAAUAUUUGCAGCCACCCGAAUUAUAUCUGCGACCUCCCGUAUCGUGUUGGAACUAAGAUUAGAUUAUUGAAUCUCUCUCUC